UACGUAGGGGGCUAGCGUUGUUCGGAAUCAUUGGGCGUAAAGCGCGUGUAGGCGGUCCGGUAAGUCCGCUGUGAAAGCCAGGGGCUCAACCCUUGGAUGCCGGUGGAUACUGUCGGGCUUGAGUACGGAAGAGGCGAGUGGAAUUCCUGGUGUAGCGGUGAAAUGCGCAGAUAUCAGGAGGAACACCAAUUGCGAAGGCAGCUCGCUGGGACGUUACUGACGCUGAGACGCGAAAGCGUGGGGAGCAAACAGG
rnacentral:rRNA from 1 species